GGAGUUUUAUAUUGAAGUCGUUAUAACGACUUAGCUAAGUUGUUUAAACGAGUUAGCUAAGUUGUUGAAACGAGCUAGCUAAGUUGUUUAAACAAGUAAGCUUAGUCGUUAAAACAAGUUAGCUAAGUUUUUAUAACAAAAUAAAUAUGCUUAGUCGUUAUAACAACUUAGCUAAGUCGUUUAAACAAGUUAGCUAAGUCAGUACAUUCAUAUUAAAGCAAAGC
rnacentral:lncRNA from 1 species